CUACAAAUGAAAUUCUAAUGAGGUGGCUACUGGUUCAAGGUCAUGCAAAUGCAGGGACAACGUGGCGCAUUAGUAAUCCUCCAAAUUGUUAUGAAAAUGCAAUCAGCCAAAUGGAAACCCCAGACGAAUUCACAGAAAGUGCAAGUACUAGUAAGGAUUGGCCGUAAUGAGCAACCAGCAAUCGCAUUAAAGCGACGCAAAUGCGUCAAAGUCCAAAGCGCAGCGGGCCAUAAAGGAGCAAACAAGUCAGAUGGCUAAAACAAAAACGAUUUGUUCUGCCAACGUCACGUAAAGCCAAAAAAGAAUUGGCUCAAUACAACCGGCAAGAGGAGCAAAAGCCACGUACACACCCAUACGCACACAUGUCCGCAAAGUGACGUAGAAAUUAUGAAGUUUGUGAUUUACGAGCAAAUCGGGCAAGAAAAAGCAGCAGGAAGGUGAAGCGGAAAAAACGACAAAUGGGUGAGUUAAAUUACUAUCCAAACUUGGGAUACCUUGUAAUAAAGUAAGUUUUAAUACACUAAAUUGAAGAAAAAGAAAAUAUACCUUUCGAAUUCUUUGGCUCAGAUUUUU